rnacentral:rRNA from 1 species
AGCGAACGCUGGCGGCAGGCCUAACACAUGCCAGUCGAACGAACUCUUCGGAGUUAGUGGCGGACGGGUGAGUAACACGUGGGAACGUGCCUUUAGGUUCGGAAUAACUCAGGGAAACUUGAGCUAAUACCGGAUGUGCCCUUCGGGGGAAAGAUUUAUCGCCUUUAGAGCGGCCCGCGUCUGAUUAGCUAGUUGGUGAGGUAAAGGCUCACCAAGGCGACGAUCAGUAGCUGGUCUGAGAGGAUGAUCAGCCACAUUGGGACUGAGACAUGGCCCAAACUCCUACGGGAGGCAGCAGUGGGGAAUCUUGCGCAAUGGGCGAAAGCCUGACGCAGCCAUGCCGCGUGAAUGAUGAAGGUCUUAGGAUUGUAAAAUUCUUUCACCGGGGACGAUAAUGACGGUACCCGGAGAAGAAGCCCCGGCUAACUUCGUG